GUGCUUUCCUUUCCGCGGUGCCGAGGAUCAGGCCGGCCUCCAGGGGCAGAACGCGCCGGCAGCCCUGACACUGUCCCGCCAUGGCUCCGGGACUCCCCGUCUCCCUCAGACACGGCCCCCCCGCCGCCAUCUUGUUAACGGCCCCGCUCCACCGUGAGGGGCCGGGCUGUGGGGUGCCCUCCGCCCGCCACGGCGAGGGGCCGGGCUGUGGGGUGCCCUCUGCCCGCUACGGUGAAGGGCAGGGCGCUGCGAAACCCCUGUUCUCUAUGGCGGGGCGCCGGGCGCUGUGGAGCUGCUCCCUGCAGCUCAUCGCGCUGCCCACGGCGGCGGGCUGGUCAGGUGGAACGCCGCAACCGUUCAACAGCCCCUACUGGAGACCUGCAAAGCCACCGCCGUGGAAGGGGUGGAGCGGCACCAUGGAGGAGGAGGAGAAGGAGGAGAAGGGGGACGAGACUCUUCAGGGGCGGCAGCAGCAGCCCCGGAGUUCUCCUGUAAAAGGUAUGGAUAAGAACACAGAUGAAGAGCAGCCUUCAACUGCCUGUAACCAGUACCCUAAAGAAGCAGUGAAGAAACGUCAGAAUUCGGGUCGAGUUUCCGGGAGCAAUGAUUCUUCCAGGACCUUCAGGAAAAGCUUCAGACUGGACUACAGAUUAGAAGAGGAUGUAACUAAAUCAAAGAGAGGCAAAGAUGGGAGAUUUGUCAACCCAUGGCCAACAUGGAAAUCACCAACUUUACCAAACAUUUUGAAAUGGUCCUUCAUGGAAAAAAAUAACAGCAAUGUGCCACGCUCAAAGCAGGAACUCGAUAAAGAACUUCCAGUGUUACAACCUUACUUUGUUCAAACGCCAGAAGAUGCUGGGAAAACAGGAGCUGGUAUGCGAGUCACGUGGCUGGGACAUGCCACAGUUAUGGUGGAAAUGGAUGAACUUGUAUUUCUUACUGACCCAAUCUUCAGCCAGAGAGCUUCCCCUAUUCAACUGUUGGGUCCCAAGCGCUUCCGAGGGCCUCCGUGCACAGUAGCGCAGCUCCCCAAGAUAGAUGCGGUGUUGAUCAGCCACACCCACUACGAUCAUCUGGACUACAACAGCGUGGCAAGUCUGAACGAACGCUUUGGGAGUGAGCUGCGCUGGUUUGUGCCUCUGGGGCUCCUGCAGUGGAUGCAGAGAUGUGGUUGUGAGAAUGUGAUUGAACUGGAUUGGUGGGAAGAGAACUGUGUCCCUGGUCAUGAUGCGGUAACUUUUGUCUUCACCCCUUCCCAGCAUUGGUGCAAAAGGACUGUGACAGAUGAUAACAAGGUUCUCUGGGGCAGCUGGUCUGUCCUGGGGCCUUGGAAUAGGUUUUUCUUUGCAGGAGAUACUGGAUAUUGUUUUGCUUUUGAACAAAUAGGUAAAAGGUUUGGACCUUUCGAUCUUGCAGCCAUCCCCAUUGGAGCUUAUGAGCCAAGGUGGUUUAUGAAAUACCAGCAUGUGGAUCCUGAAGAAGCAGUAAGAAUCCAUAUUGAUGUUCAAGCAAAGAAGUCUGUAGCAAUUCACUGGGGGACCUUUGCUUUAGCAAAUGAGUAUUACUUGGAUCCUCCAGUUAAAUUGAAUGAAGCUCUGGAAAGAUACGGCUUGAAAAAGGAUGACUUCUUUCUCUUACGUCAUGGAGAAUCACGGAAUUUGAAUACAAAUGACCGUUUUGAAAAUUGAAACAGUGUCAGUUCCUUUAGAAAGUCUUAAGCAAGGGCUGUGGUAUUUUUUCUAAUAGCUUCCCUAUAAUUUUCAAGCUGAAUGAGAGAUUACAGCAUUGUUCAGUGUUAUAAAACUUGGCCAAAUGUAUCUGUAUCAAAUCAUCUUGCUAAUUUACAGAAUUAAAGCCUACUGUUGCCAAUAAAAAGGAUUGUUAUUCUCCUUCAUCAUUUCAUUGGCAAAUCAUGUUUUGUUUAUGAUUUCUUUGGUCGGUAGGAUAUGUGGGUUGGUUUGAGGGUUUUUUUUUCUGCUCUUGCUGUACAUUUUAUUUUCAUAUCCCAUAAAGACAAAUAUAUAUAAAAAAAGAUACAUUAUUUAAAGGCAUUAUCUUCUGGUGACUAACCAAAACCAGUUAAUGAGAUUUCAUGGUAGGAACAACUGAGGUAAUCUUUUAACUGUAGACAGUUAUCAAAAGUGGUUUAAAACUACCCUGUGAUUCAGUGUAGAGGGUCUUUCAGGUGAAGGCCCUUGUAUUUUCACAACAGCUUCAAUUACAACUUGGAUGAUACAAUGUAUAUUACCUAUGUGUAAUUUUGUGGAGGAUGCCAAGCUGCAAGGAGUUUUGAGUACUUUGAAGGACAAGUUUAAUGAGGUUGAUUUUGUUGUGGGUUGUUUUCUUUUCCUGUUUUAAUCAUCAUCAAUAGGUUAUUCUGUAAAAUGAUAUACUUUAGAAAGAGUGAAACUAAAACACAGAAUACUUAGAUAUGCAGUCACAGAGCAGAGAAAUACUGGUUUACAUGGAUCAGAAGCUCAAUGUCAGUAAUGACAUGUUUUGUUUUCGAUCUGUUAAUUCACAACAUUUGUACCUAGAAUGGUGACCGUUAUGUUUUGCUUGGUGCUGAUAAGAUUCCACCAAGGGUGUGGGGUAAGUGAUAAAAAAAUGAGACAUCUUUGCAUAAAAGUACAUUGGAAAGUUUUGCAUGAUUUCAAAACAUCUCAAGAGCUCCGUGAAGAAAGCAUUUAGAAAUAGUUCUUUCUAGACCAGAAAAAGAAAACUGAGACAAUACUGUAGCAAGUUCUCAUGUAUUUUUAGAAAAGGUCACUUGUUUCUGUCAGCUGUCAAAGAAAUAGAUAAGAGAUCAACUCUAUCAAAAAGAUGAUAUUUGAAAAAUUUAUUUUUAGGUUGGAGAACAUGGAAAGUGACAUCUAGAUAUCUCUGUUGAUCUUAAGAAACCAUGUAUCAGCUAUACCUAGAACAAAUUGGUCCUAGUGUCUUGUCAGAAGAGUAGUUAAAUUCUUAGUGUCUGGCCUAGUCUUUAUUUUUUUUAGUCAAAUUCAGUAGCAGAAAAUAUUAAAUCUACAAAAAGUUGCAAAACAUUAAGUGAUUGUAAUGUAACUUACUUAUUACAAACUGUACAGUGUUUUAGGAGCAGUGGGAAGGCGAAAAGGAAGUUCACUGUCAAUGCAGCAAUUGUCAAGUUUCUGCUGGGAAUCAUGCCAACUUCUAUUUCUGCCUUAACUGUAUUCCUGGGUGAUGAAGCAAAGAUGCCAGUCUCUGAGCGAAUGGGGCAGAGUCCCUGCAGAGUGUGAAGAAAAUUGAGUCUUCACUGUAUUCCUCAAUGGUGUUGCCUUCUUCAUCAUUCAUGUUCUUUUUCAAGUUUGCUGCAAAUGCCAGGGCUCGAACUAGAAUGUCUCUGUUUAUAUAGUUGUCAAAAAGUAACAACAUUGAUGGCACCUAGGAUAUUGAAGAAAUAUUCCACACUUAAUCACCAGCAGUAAGUAUGUGUAACUAAAUCAAAUCUCAAAAAAUGGAAAAAAUUGUGUACCUAAACCAGAAAUUGUAUGAAAUCCCAGGACUUUGUAUGCUGUGAACUCCUGUCAGAAAUUUGUACAGUGUGCAAAUGUUCUCUCUAGAAAAGACUGGCCUGUGAAUCAAUGGACUAAUAACUGCUUUGUAUUUUCGAUCUCCAAAAUAUGGCUGUCUGGAAAACUCCCAUUUGGAAGAAAAGGUCUGCUUCUCAGCCACAUUGAUUUUUGUCCUGAAUGUUUUUGUAGCAUAUCUGAUAAAUGAAAAAAUAAUACACUUAACAGAGAACUGAAUAUUUAGCUACCCGAAAUUUGUUUGAAUAAUGAAAAGACAGCAUUAUCUAGACUAGCUCUGCUCAUGGCAGAUAGCUCACAAAUACAACCCAUUGCAUGUUUUAAGAAAGUUACUUUGGGGAGAGAGACGAGGAUGCAGUACCAUUCCAGCCCCAACUGUUUUGGUGUGAGGAAAUGAAACUGAAAGAAACCUAUGUGCCAAGGCCACCACAGCAAAUGUCACACAAAUUUCUCCAUGAAGAAAUAAGUAAAUGCACAGGGAAAGUUCACUUAGAGGCAACAGUUUUAUGUCUGCAUUUGAAUAAAGGGGUGGGGAUUCCAGUGGAAUUGGGCUGGGUUUGGUCCAGUAAAUUGGCUAUAGAAACAGAAGUUGAGAAGGAUCACUUACAGUAUUGGUUCUAUUUAAUGGUUUUCAAUCUAUAUAAUGACUGUGUGUCUGGAAUUGGAAGGUUAGAACAGGCUUCUGCAAGUUAUCAUUGAUUAUUUGGAAUGGUACACAAGAAGUACAACCAACUAUCUCCAAGUGCACAGGCCCCGCGCCUCUCUUUGUAAACAUGGUAUCUGUACUACACUACUCUCUGGAAUAAAGCCAGCCCGUGAAAGAAUGUGCAGUUAGAUACCAGUUUUAACCAAGCAAUGUCUAGAAUUUGUUCUGGAAUUGCAUAUGGAUUUCUAAUACACUAUAAUUCUUCUAGUGCAUGCAAUAUCUAAAUUGGUACACAUGUAUAUAUGCUAAAAAUAAAACGAAGCAGCAAGAACCUUA